AGCGAACGCUGGCGGCAGGCCUAACACAUGCAAGUCGAACGAUCCUUCGGGAUAGUGGCGGACGGGUGAGUAACACGUGGGAACGUGCCCUCUGGAUCGGAACAACUCAGGGAAACUUGAGCUAAUACCGAAUGUGCCCUUCGGGGGAAAGAUUUAUCGCCAUUGGAGCGGCCCGCGUCUGAUUAGCUUGUUGGUGAGGUAACGGCUCACCAAGGCGACGAUCAGUAGCUGGUCUGAGAGGAUGAUCCGCCACACUGGGACUGAGACACGGCCCAGACUCCUACGGGAGGCAGCAGUGGGGAAUCUUGCGCAAUGGGCGAAAGCCUGACGCAGCCAUGCCGCGUGAAUGAUGAAGGUCUUAGGAUUGUAAAAUUCUUUCACCGGGGACGAUAAUGACGGUACCCGGAGAAGAAGCUCCGGCUAACUUCGUGCCAGCCGCCGCUGUAAUAC
rnacentral:rRNA from 1 species